GGGGGUGCACUGGUUUCGACGGGGGUGUGGAAACCGGAUAAGCGAGCCGUAGUCGCCAAGUCUACGUUAAAAGUGGCCGUUUAAAUAUAAACGCUAAAAAGAAUAAUAAUUUCGCAUUAGCUGCAGCGUAAGCAGCACGCGCGCAUGCCCGAAUUCACCUGCAGAUUCGGUGUCAUGUGUCAAACAUGCAGGAAACCUUAUGUGAAAGCCCGGCAGCAUAAGGGAAUAACGGGAUAGCUAAUCGCAAAGCCUGCUUUUGGGCGCUGCGAGAGGCGAAUUAAAAAAUCAAAAGCUGCGCUCGGAGAAAGUCCCGUGGAAAUGCUUUCGGACAUGGGUUCGAUUCCCAUCACUUCCACCA
rnacentral:tmRNA from 1 species